UGCCAUGGUGAUAGACAGAAUCUUCCUGUGGGUGUUUGUGACAGUGUGCAUCCUCGGAACCCUCGGCCUCUUCCUGCAGCCUGUCAUUGGCUUCCUGUCAUAACCCAGAACCAAUAAGGGCUCACUGACACCACCGGCUGCCUCCACGUGUCGACCAGUCACCAACCAGUGUUGUCAGUCCAUCGCCACCAAAUGGACUUGUUGGCUUUGUGUUGAAAAUUCUAAAUAAAUAAAUGACACAAUCAUACGGUAUAUAUUGUAGACAGCAAGAACCAAUCAACAGUCACCAAUCGGAGUCGCCGGGUAUGAGUUAGAACCAAGAACCAAUCAGAGUCGCUGGAUGUGAGUCAUAACCAAUUACCAAUCACAUAAAUCAGGUUUCUGUCGUGAACCAAUCUCGGUUAUUGUGCUAUUGUGUCUCAACCAAUCAGAUUGACAUGACACAGUGCAUUCUUGUAAAAAAAACUACAACCAUCCAAUCAGAAAUCCCAUUCUUGCAUGUCAGGCGAUUAAAAUCCAUCCAUGUGAUUUAGAACACGACAAUGACGCUGUUCUUAUCAAUGUUCUAGAAGGUAUAAUUGGCAAGGCCUCUGUAAAUACGUGCCGGAUUAAAUUAGCCUGAACGGUUUCCAUCCAGAAAUAGCAGCUUCCUCUUCUAAACAGAUAUUAAUUAUUCUAAGGGAUUUCUAUCAUCCGAUUCCAUGACUAUUAAUUUGUUUUUUAUUCAUUCUUUUUUAUUAAAUUUCUGGAUUCAACGAUCUCCUGAAAUACAAUACGUAGAUCAUGCAUGAUGGAUUUAGAAUGGCUGCUUCCCAAUUGGCACCCUAUACCUUACAUAGUGCAUUGCUUUUGACAGAGCCCUGUGGGCAGCACUAUGGGCCCUGGUCACAAAUAGUGCACUAUAUAGGGAAUAGGGUGCCAUUUGGGAUGCUGCAAAUGGGUGACCAGGGCCACCGCAUCUAUAUAUAAUUACUAUAAGACAAUUCUAUAAUAAUUAUAAUUAUAUUACUAUACAGUACUGUCAGAUUUUAGGAUAACAGUUUUUUUUGUAUGGUUAUUGUCAUUAAUCCAACGCAUUAAGGCUUUUGGUUGUUUGUUUCAUUAGCAAUGCACACCUCGCACUCAAGUGACUGUCACUUUGGUACGUUUCAUUAGCAAUGCACACCUCGCACUCAAGUGACUGUCACUUUGGUACCGAUGUCUCCUGCUUUCUGUAUAGUAUGGAUGCACUACUUUAUGGAUUUGGAAUAAAUGCAAUAUUUCUCCCAAAAUAUGAAAAGCAUCUCACU
ensembl:lncRNA